rnacentral:misc_RNA from 1 species
GAUGAAGAACGCAGCGAAAUGCGAUAAGUAAUGUGAAUUGCAGAAUUCAGUGAAUCAUCGAAUCUUUGAACGCACAUUGCGCCCGCCAGUAUUCUGGCGGGCAUGCCUGUUCGAGCGUCAUUACAACCCUCAGGCCCCCGGGCCUGGCGUUGGGGAUCGGCGGAGCCCCCCGUGGGCACACGCCGUCCCCCAAAUGCAGUGGCGGUCCCGCCGCAGCUUCCAUCGCGUAGUAGCUAACACCUCGCGACUGGAGAGCGGCGCGGCCAUGCCGUAAAACACCCAACUCUUCUGAAGUUGACCUCGAAUCAGGUAGGAAUACCCGCUGAACUUAAGCAUAUCAAUAAGCGGAGGA